AUUGAACGCUGGCGGCAUGCCUUACACAUGCAAGUCGAACGGUAACAGGUCUUCGGAUGCUGACGAGUGGCGAACGGGUGAGUAAUACAUCGGAACGUGCCUAGUAGUGGGGGAUAACUACUCGAAAGAGUGGCUAAUACCGCAUGAGAUCUCCGCAGCAAAGCAGGGGAUCGCAAGACUUUGUCCUACUAGAGUGGCCGAUGGCAGAUUAGGUAGUUGGUGGGAUAAAAGCUUACCAAGCCGACGAUCUGUAUCUGGUCUGAGAGGACGAUCAGCCACACUGGGACUGAGACACGGCCCAGAGUCCUACGGGAGGCAGCAGUGGGGAAUGUUGGACAAUGGGCGCAAGCCUGAUCCAGCAAUGCCGCGUGCAGGAUGAAGGCCUUCGGGUUGUAAACUGCUUUUGUACGGAACGAAAAGCCCUGGGUUAAUACCCUGGGGUCAUGACGGUACCGUAAGAAUAAGCACCGGCUAACUACGUGCCAGCCGCCGCAGUAAAAC
rnacentral:rRNA from 1 species